rnacentral:tRNA from 1 species
AUUCUUCUAGUACUAAUUAGUAUAAGUGACUUCCAAUCACUAGGUCUUAAUAAAAUUUAAGGAAGAAUA